UACGUAGGGUGCAAGCGUUGUCCGGAAUUAUUGGGCGUAAAGAGCGUGUAGGCGGCCCGGUUAGUCCGCUGUGAAAGUCCAGGGCUCAACCCUGAAAUGCCGGUGGAUACUGUCGGGCUAGAGUCCGGAAGGGGCGAGUGGAAUUCCUGGUGUAGCGGUGAAAUGCGCAGAUAUCAGGAGGAACACCAAUGGCGAAGGCAGCUCGCUGGGACGUGACUGACGCUGAGACGCGAAAGCGUGGGGAGCAAACAGG
rnacentral:rRNA from 1 species